rnacentral:rRNA from 1 species
GCAAGAUAUAAAGGGCGCACGGGGGAUGCCUUGGUAGCAAAGGCCGAAGAAGGACGUGGCAGGCUGCGAAAAGCCCGGGGUAGGUGCCUAACAACCGAAGAUCCCGGGAUAUCCGAAUGGGGAAACCCGCAUGGAAGGAAAUCCAUGCAUCGCUUAGUGAAAUUAGUAGCUAAGCGAGGGGCACGAGGCGAAGUGAAACAUCUCAGUAGCCUCAGGAAGAGAAAUCAAAAGAGAUUCCCUAAGUAGCGGCGAGCGAACGGGGAAGAGCCCAAACCUAAGCUGUGUGAUAGCGGCCAGGCGUUGCAGUUUAGGGGUAGCGGGGCACAUACGGAGCCGGCUGGCAACAGGCUCAGCUAGUUACAAAACUUGUACAUAGCCGAACUGCAUGGGAAGGCAGACCGAAGAAGGUGAAAGUCCUGUAGGCGAAAUGUACAAGACUAGCUGGUAUGUGACCCCAAGUACACCGGGACACGAGGAAUCCUGGUGGAAUCAGGGGGGACCACCCUCCAAGGCUAAACACCUUUGCUAACCGAUAGCGCAUAGUACCGUGAGGGAACGGUGAAAAGAACCCCGGUGAGGGGAGUGAAAUAGAACCUGAAACCGUGCGUCCACAAGGAACGGGAGGCGACCCAUGGGUUGCCGACCGUGUGCCUAUUGAAGAAUGAGCCAGGGAGUUCAUUCCAGUAGCGAGGUUAAGGUGCUAAGGCACUGAAGCCGAAGGGAAACCGAGUCUGAACAGGGCGAUAAGCUGCUGGAUUGAGACACGAAGCCGGGUGAUCUACCCAUGUCCAGGGUGAAGGGCAGGUAAGACUGUCUGGAGGCCCGAACCCGUCAGGGGUAAAAACCUGUGGGAUGAGGUGUGGGUAGGGGAGAAAUUCCAAUCGAACCCGGGGAUAGCUGGUUCUCUCCGAAAUGCAUUGAGGUGCAGCCUUUGGGUAGUAGACCGUGGAGGUAGAGCACUGGUAGGGCUAGGGGGUCGUGAGGCCUACUGAACCCUGUCAAACUCCGAAUGCCAUGGUAGCUAGCCCAAGGAGUGAGUCUACGGGGGACAAGCUUCGUAGGCGAGAGGGGAACAUCCCAGACUAUCGGCUAAGGUCCCGAAGCUACGCUAAGUGUUCCAACCUAAAGGAAGUACGUCUGCAAAGACAGCCAGGAUGUUGGCUCAGAAGCAGCCAUCAUCUAAGGAGUGCGUAACAGCUCGCUGGUCGAGCGGAUGUGCGCCGAAGAUGUAACGGGGCUAAGCGUAGCACCGAAGCCAUAGACUUACUUUAGCCAAGGCUAAAGUAAGUGGUAGGAGAGCGUUCUGUGAGGGGCGAAGGUUACAUGUGAAUGUAGCUGGACUUCACAGAAGUGAGAAUCCUGGCAUGAGUAACGAUAAGACAGGUGAGAAUCCUGUCCGCCGGAAGUCCAAGGGUUCCUGGGGAAGGUUCGUCCGCCCAGGGUAAGCCGGAGCCUAAGGUGAGGCCGAAAGGCGUAGCCGAUGGAGAAACAGGUUAAUAGUCCGUGCCACUGAUUAUGUCGAUUGACCUGAAGGGGAGACGCAGGAAGGUAGCUACGCGUGCUAGUGGAAUAGCACGUUCUUAGCAGCGAGGCCUGGGUGUAGGGAAAUCCGCACCCGAUGUAGGUUAGCGGCUAGGAGGAGUGUCCGUAAGGAUGCGAAGGUAGUGAUCCUACACUGCCGAGAAAAACCUCGUCAGGGAGACAUAGUUAGUGUCCGUACCCGAAACCGACACAGGUGGACUGGUAGACAAACUACCGAGGCGCGCGAGAGAACCCUCGCUAAGGAACUCGGCAAACUGACCCCGUAACCUCGGGAGAAGGGGUGCCUGCGAUAGGUGAAUCAAGGAAUUGAUGAGCCGAGGCAGGCCGCAGAGGAUAGGUCCUGGCGACUGUUUACCAAAAACACAGGUCUCUGCGAAGGCGGAAGCCGAAGUAUAGGGGCUGAGGCCUGGCCAGUGCUGGAAGGUUAAGGUGAGGGGUUAGCCCAGGAAUGGGCGAAGCUCCGAGCUGAAGCCCCAGUAAACGCCGGCCGUAACUAUAACGGUCCUAAGGUAGCGAAAUUCCUUGUCGGGUAAGUUCC